rnacentral:rRNA from 1 species
GGCUAUACAUGCAAGUCGAGCGGAACGAGUUAUCUGAACCUUCGGGGAACGAUAACGGCGUCGAGCGGCGGACGGGCGCGUAAUGCCUAGGAAAUUGCCCUGAUGUGGGGGAUAACCAUUGGAAACGAUGGCUAAUACCGCAUGAUGCCUACGGGCCAAAGAGGGGGACCUUCGGGCCUCUCGCGUCAGGAUAUGCCUAGGUGGGAUUAGCUAGUUGGUGAGGUAAGGGCUCACCAAGGCGACGAUCCCUAGCUGGUCUGAGAGGAUGAUCAGCCACACUGGAACUGAGACACGGUCCAGACUCCUACGA